rnacentral:lncRNA from 1 species
CUCUCAUUUUCUCUUGCUGCCGCGAUGUACGAAGUUCCUUUUGCCUGCCGCGAUGAUUUUGAGGCCUCCCCAGCCAUGUGAAACUACAUGGAUUCUCACUAUGACACCCAGGCUGGAGUGCAGUGGCACAAUCAUAGCUGACUACAGCCUCGAAUUUCUGGGCUCAAGCAAGGCUUUCAUCUCAACCUCCCCAGGAGCUGGGAUUACAGAUGGUGUCAGAAGCGGGGUUCAAAGUAGAGCUUUAAUGACCCCCAGAAGUGCUGAGUGAACAAGCAAGGUACCUGCAAGGACCCACUUGUGUCCUUUGAUCUCUCAGAGCAGUGGAAUUUUCAGCCUGCCAGCCUGCCCUACAGAAUUCAGACUUGUCAGCCUCCACAAUCAGGGAAGAAUGAAGAGGCUCUUUUAUAUUACCCUUACCAUUUAUAAGCAGGUCGGCAGCAGAAUGCAAACUGUUACUUUAAUUUUAUGUAAAUACUAGUUAUUUGUAUAUGAAAUAAUUUGUUACAAUAUCUAAUUUGCUUUACUGCCAGUGGCCCAAACUAAAUUAACAUUUUGAUUUAAAAAUUAUUCAAAUAUUGCAAUCUCAAAAUAAAGUACUUUGAUACUAAUUAUUUCUACCAAUAUCUAAAAUUACUAUAAAUUAUCUUAUCCUAUUAUGAUUUAUAUGUUUCCUGGAAUUUUAUUUACUUUUUGAAAACACUAUCUUUUCCCCUGUGGAAUUAUAAAUGGGAAUAUCCUUGGGCAAUUUAACAGUUAUAAAAAUUUUUUUAACUAUACAUAGUAAAGGCAAAUAAUCUUUAAACAGCUAAACCUAUAUUGACACCUCAAAAGUUUGCAUUUAAUUACUUCUUUUACACUAGCAGUUUUAUCUAUGCCAAUAAGUACUACUGUAAAAAAAUGGCAAUGAGCUCUUACUAUGGAAGAUCGUGAGGACAUAAACCAUUUCUGUCUCUCUCAUUGUUUUGUUUUUUAAUUGAGAUAUAGUCAAGAGUUAUUUUGAGGUUACAGAAGGCAAUUGAGAUAUUUUUUGGAUCUUUAGUUAUUUUUAGUUCCACCAAGUGAGUAAAGCAUCAGUCUUUUGGCAUUAAAAGAAUUAGAGUUCUGUGGAAAGAGAAUGUGUCCUUACCAUCAGUAGAAUUAAUUACAAGGAAUAACAAAGAGAAUCAGUGUCAGAAUUUGGGCUCCGUCUAUUAAUAGUCUUGAAAUACAUUUUAAACAACUGAUUUUCCUCUUUCUGAAUUUUUGCACAAUGAGAUUUUUUUGAGGCCAAAAUCCGCUGGCUUUCACAUUUAUUUCAUUGCUACUUGACUGAACUAGCUGAAAUUUUAAGUGUGUUUCUUGUUAAAGGGAAACUUAAGUCAGGCACAUUUGAGCAGAUUUAUUUUAAAAAGGAUAUUUUCACCUCUUCCUAAAGCAAUAUUCCAAGCUCAGUAACUGACAUUCAACAGAUGACUAAUGAAGGUCUUAUAGUAGAAAUUAGCCUCUUCCCUACCUCCUGGAUUCAGUUACCCUACUGAGACUCUCUCAAUCUGCCCUUUCCCCUCAACUGGCUCCCUGGAGAAAGCUGGAAGCAGGUGCUAGGAAUCUUGUCAUUAAUUCAGAUCAACAAUGUCAGUUAAUUAAGUGGAAGUUCUUUUACCCAGACUCUAAAGGCAAAGAUGACUAAGAAUCCAAAAUGAUUAAAAUAAAAAAUAGUUUUCUUUCCACCUCUGAAGUCAAUGUCCUUCUUCGUAACCAUAUUCAUUACAUUUUCUUAGGUUUAACUCUUUAAACAUAAAUAAGUAUGGCCAAAUAUAUUUGAUGAGAUACUUUAAAUCUAUACAUAGAUUUUACAUAUAUAAUCUGUAUUCUUAUAUGUAGAAUUUCAUGAAAACAGUGCUUUCCAACACAAAUUCCCCACAUCAUUUCUUCCACAGGAUGUGACUAGGUGGAUCUUUGGAGGAAAAAGAUAUUGUAGAGCAAAAUAAUGUCAGAAAUACUGGGUUUAUUAAGGAUGUCAUUGUUGCAGACCUUUACAAAGCCUAUAAUAUGCCAUAUAAUGUGUAUUACAGUAUAUCAUAGGAGAUGGAUACAUUGCAUGGUGUUUCAUCUAUAUAUGAUAUACAUAUAACAAUAGUAUUAUUUAAACAUAGACUAUUUUUUAAAUUUUUAAGCAUUUUUCAGCAACAGUCUUUAUAAGACAAGAAAAUUCUGAAAUGUCCUUUUUCAGAAGGUUUUUAUGCAACAUUUUUGCCCAAUACAUAUUGUUAACUCUAUUUCUUUCUUUUUAAUUUUUUUUCUUGAUUAUUAUUCUGUGAAUGCCACAUUAAAAGGCUGGAGAGGUUUCAAUUUCCACAUUUCCCUUGGUGCUAAGACAAACUCUUUUCUGAUAUGUGUGCUUGUCAAGGCUGAACUGUCCACUUUAUUUUCCAAUCUGUUUUCAAGUUUUUAUCAAUUUGACAUCAAAGCAAAAAUAAUAAAAGGAAAAAUUUCCCGUAGCAUUUAAUUGAAUACUAUGAAAUUCCUUUGAAGAGUAACCUGGGGCUUAUGUGCAAAAUAAAAAUAAGCAUCCCUUCCUCCAAACACUACUUCCAUCUGUUGAAAUGCAGUGAUGUGCUGAAACAUGAAACCUCACUGCUGUCUUCUGGAAAAGUGUCCUGUGAAGUGAAUCAUGCAAAGUGAAUGGUGCCCCUAGGGUUGUGCAGUGCACAACCUGCAAUGCUAUGGAAUGCUAUGGAACAAAAUUAAAAGCAGUGUGAAGUGUCCACAGGAUUCUAACAAAGGUUUUACUUAAGCUCACAGUCUCCUCUGUUGUGAGAGAGUACUGCACACACACAGAAAUCCAAAGUCUGAUUGUCCAAAUUUGUCAUUUUUAGCUUUUACUUUAUAUUUACUCUUAACCAGUCCUUUCACUUUGAGCCCCAUAUUAUCAUCUAUACCAUUUAGAAUACAAACCUUUUAUUUGUUGGUUAGUGCUGUCUGAUUUUAUUCUACAAACUCAUUCUACAAACUCUACUCUACAGACUCAUUCCCUGGAGUCCAGUAAAAGGGAGCUUAUUGUUUUCCUUGAUGAACCCUUUCAGUUUAGAGCUUGAGGCUCAUGAUAAUCACAUGCCAACGGACAAUUUACCUAUGAAAAAUUACACUUUAUAGCACUUUUUAAAAAAGAUAUGUCUAUUCGAUUUUGAGCCUGUCACAGUAUUAAAAACAUAUUUUGCAAUGCACUCCAUGUCAUCAGUCAGAAUUCAUCUGAUCAAAUUAACACAGGCUUAGAAAGUUCUUACUAUCAUACCUUUAGACCACGUGCUGCUGACCUAGUCUAAAUUACAGGUACAGAAUGUUUUCAGAGUUGCAUGGUAUAGCUAUGUUUUGAGGGGUGGAUGGAAAGAAUUCCCAUGGUAAUUUCCAUUGUGUGUUUUAACUUGAGCUGUGUACUCCUAAAAUGUUACCAUUUGCUUCUCUGAGUUACUUCAUCUCUGUGCCCCGCUUUCCAUUAUAGUAUUAGUAAGAUUCUAAUAUGAUUGUUUGUUUUCAUCUCUUUCUUUCUCCACUCUCCAUGAUCUGAACUUUUAAAAGUAAGCCCUUUUAUUUUUCUUUGUACCUUCACAG